CAGUGAUGUACCCCGGAAGCGUUACGCAUUUACAGGCGAAAACCGGCCGUCGUCAGAUUCGGUCGGCGCCCGCCAAUUUCGGAAUCUCGUAUUAUCGUUUGCGUGUGCGCGUCGCAAAAUAUCCUCGGGUCCUGUUGGGGGUCUUUUUUCGUAUUUUUCUUUCCACGCGUUUGUGCGGCGCGGGAUUAUCGCCGACGCGGAAAGGCGAGUGGAGACGAGAAUACUGCGCAAAAAAAAAAAAUGAAAAAAAUAAAUAUAUAAACAAGACGAAAAAAUAACGUCCCGAGGAAACGGACGGCGGCGGCGUAAUCACGAAAAAAAAAAAAUAAAAUAAAAAAAAUGAUUUAUCGUCGGGAUACGUUUUCUGUCGUACACCCGGUAUAUAUAUAUACGCACACACGUACGUUAUAAUAUAGGAUUUAACGCGGACGAGCUCUUUCGGGACGGUCCGUGUUUUUUAACCGCCGCGGACCGGGCUGUUUGGCAUUCCGCAAAUGUCCCCUGUCUCACUCUCUCAUUCUCUCUCACUCUCUCUCUCUCUCUCACUGUCUCUCUCUCUCUCCGGAGAGCGCGCGAGUUUGUGUGAUUUAGGCGCUUGACCGCACGUGUGCGUGGUGACUGCACGACAAAGGUCGUCCGGCCCGCGACUUUUGUGGCAUGAAAGCCGGCCGUAUCAGCUUUUGUACACACGCACACAUAAUAUUAUGUUAUCCACGUGUCAACACCUCUAUCGAACGACGACGACGACGACAAUUCAUAUUAUUCGAGUACGCGUUCGUUUCUGUAGUCCUCGGACAUCGUUCGGUGACGACGACCCUCGAUAGAGUCCGAUAAUCACGUUUCAACAAUAAUAUAACACUAUAUACUCUGUGUACGUCUGUCGGCACUACCUAUGCUACACAGUGAGUUAUAUACUGUACACUAUAUCCGCUGCCGUAUUGUAUAUAAUAUUGUUAUGGUCCGGCUUUCGGGGACUGAUUUGAAGAGAAAUAUAACUACGAGGCGUAUUUCCGUUCUACGUCCUUUUUAAAUAAAUACAGAUGGGUAAAAAAAAAAAAAAAAAAAAACCAAAAACUAAAUUAUAAAAGGCGGGGGUAGUCUAUACUGAAUACGGGGUUAAUUUUUGUA